UACGUAGGGGGCAAGCGUUGUCCGGAAUCAUUGGGCGUAAAGAGCGUGUAGGCGGCCCGAUAAGUCCGCUGUGAAAGUCCAGGGCUCAACCCUGGGAUGCCGGUGGAUACUGUCGGGCUCGAGUCCGGAAGAGGAGUGUGGAAUUCCUGGUGUAGCGGUGAAAUGCGCAGAUAUCAGGAGGAACACCAAGGGCGAAGGCAGCACUCGGGGACGUGACUGACGCUGAGACGCGAAAGCGUGGGGAGCAAACAGG
rnacentral:rRNA from 1 species